GAGACUCUGUGCGCGUGCAUAUCAAUAAGCGGAGGAAAAGGAAACUAACAAGGAUUCCCUUAGUAACGGCGAGUGAAGCGGGAAGAGCUCAAAUUUGAAAUCUUCAAGGUUCUACCUUGACGAAUUGUAGUUUAAAGAAGUGUUUUCUGUUAGAUGAGUAGCAAAAGUUCCUUGGAAUGGGACAUCAUAGAGGGUGAGAAUCCCGUAUUUGGUUAUUCAUUCUAGCUUUGUGAUACACUUUCAAAGAGUCGGAUUGUUUGGGAAUGCAGUCCAAAAUGGGUGGUAAAUUUCAUCUAAAGCUAAAUAUUGGCGAGAGACCGAUAGCGAACAAGUACCGUGAGGGAAAGAUGAAAAGAACUUUGAAAAGAGAGUUAAACAGUACGUGAAAUUGUCAAAAGGGAAGCGUUUGACACCAGUGUUGUUUUUCCGAAAAUCAAUUACGAAUGGCUUGAUUUUGUGUUGUAUUGACCUUAUCAGCUUUCUUCACUUUUUUCGAGUCUUUCUUAAUGCACUUUUCGGUUAACAAGUCAACAUCAAUUUCUUUUGUUGUAAAAGAGUAUUCGGAAGGUGGCUUUCUUUUCGGAGAAAGUGUUUAUAGCCCUAUACUUCUACAAUCGGAGAGAUUGAGGUCUGCAGCGUAGAUCCUUCGGGGUUAGAUACAUUUGUGCUAAGUUGUAGCUUUUCAUAGACAACUUGUUGACUAUGUUUAGUCAUGCGGCUUACUCGCUUGUGCUAUUUUACCUACGCUUAGGAUGUUGACUGAUAUGUAGUCGU
rnacentral:rRNA from 1 species